rnacentral:lncRNA from 1 species
CUGAGCAGGACAUGGGUGGGAGUCCCACCCAUGGGUGUCCCCCCACGGCUGUUGCAGCCCCAACCCCAGCACAGAGCUUUGAAGCUCCCCUGAGCACCCCAGCUCAGAGCCCUGUGCCCUCCGCAGCUCCAGCCAAUGUAAUUCCAGCCAAGGAAAGUCCCUUUGUGCCCCUGGAGCCACCCUGGGAAUGCUGGAGUCACUUCCCUCCCACGGGACUUCCCAGGCUCCACAGGAGGCUUUCCAGCUCCCAGAGGAGCAGAGCAGGAGGAAGCUGCUGGCUGGGAGGGUUGUAUCCUGCAGCUCAUGGCAUGCUCCAGCCCCAAACUUUUACCUUAUUUUCUUUUACAGCAGCAGCUCCCUGAGUCCUGUGAUCACUGCUGAGCCUCUGCCUUCUUUUUGGGCCAGGAGGACCUUUGGAUCUACCCUCAUCAGAGACUACAGUGGGCAAAACCAAGUCUUGAAAGGCUCAAGGCCAGGCUGCCUUCCCUGCUGUUGGCGCAGCUCCAUCCAUCCAGCACCGUGCCUUGGCUCCGAGUGCCUUGGCUCCAUAGGUGCUCCAGCAGCAGCACUAACCCACACGUGCAGCCACUUGCUUUGCAUCCAAAGGGAUGCUGAUGGGCAGUACCAGUCCCAGAGAGGAAAAAGGGACUUUUGCAGCAUCUGCUGCCUGUUGGAUGCUGUUGAAGGCAGCACUGGCAGCACCUGCCUGUGUGCAGGCACUGAGCUCACCUGUGCCCACCACGAUGAACCAUUUCCUUCCUGAACAUGAGCCCUCCCGGGAUGUCCUGCCUGGGAAAUGAAAUCAGCUCUGAAUGGGAAGUGCAACCAAGCUGGCCCAGCCCAGGAAGAAAAAGAGCAGCAAAAGAAAAACAGAUUCAGAAGCUGGGAAAAAAAAAAAAAGUAAAAUGCUGUGUGUGCUGCUGUCCCUGUCACUCCCCCCACGCCCACAGCCAUGGUCGGCAAGGCUGGCUCGUCCCACCAAGGUGGUGCAGAAAGGGGUGAUUUUUGUUUUAGCGGGAUUCCUGCUUCAGCACAGUCCUUUUCUUCCAGUUCUGGCUCUGGAGAAGGGAGCAGCUGGGUGCUGAGCCCGCCACAGCCCAGCCGUGCUGCCGGGCGAGGGCAAAGAGGCGUUAGCUGCGACGGGAGCCGAGCGCUUUAUUUUUAGUCUUGGUUUAACAAGUAUUAAUUAAUAAGAGUGCAAAUGCUAAUGCCGAGAUGACACAAACUGCGUCGCCUGAAAUGAAUGUUUGGGGCUUGUCUGUGCCAGGAUUUACAGCCGGGUGGGUUCACAGGGGCGAAAUCAUUGCUCAAACUGCAAGGAUAAGCUGAGCCGGCUCCUUCCCACCGAGAGCGGCAUCGGCCGUGCCGCAAUGGGAUGUGCCGGGGGCUCGGGGCCGCGCAGGGGGCUCGGGGCUGGGCGCGGGGAUGGGCUCGGGAUGGGCUCGGGAUGGGCUCGGGAUGGGCUCGGGAUGGGCUCCGGGAUGGGCUCCGGGAUGGGCUCCGGGAUGGGUUCAGGGAUGCGCUCGGGGAUGGGCUCCGGGAUGGGUUCAGGGAUGCGCUCGGGGAUGGGCUCGGGGAUGCGCUCGGGG